rnacentral:rRNA from 1 species
AACGGCCAUGCCAUGCUGCAUAUACCGGUUCUCGUUAGAUCACCGAAGUCAAGCAUCAUUGGGCGCGGUCAGUACUUGGGUGGGUGACCACCUGGGAACACCGCGUGCCGUU